rnacentral:rRNA from 1 species
AUUGAACGCUGGCGGCAUGCCUAACACAUGCAAGCCGAACGGCAGCACGGCAGUAGCAAUACUGUGGGUGGCGAGUGGCGGACGGGUGAGGAAUACGUCGGAAUCUGCCCAGUCGUGGGGGAUAACUAGCCGAAAGGUUAGCUAAUACCGCAUACGACCGAGAGGUGAAAGCGGGGGACCGCAAGGCCUCGCGCGAUUGGAUGAGCCGACGUCGGAUUAGCUAGUUGGUGGGUAAAGGCCCACCAAGGCGACGAUCCGUAGCUGGUCUGAGAGGAUGAUCAGCCACACUGGAACUGAGACACGGUCCAGACUCCUACGGGAGGUAGCAGUGGGGAAUAUUGGACAAUGGGCGCAAGCCUGAUCCAGCAAUGCCGCGUGUGUGAAGAAGGCCUCGGUUGUAAG